rnacentral:rRNA from 1 species
UAGGGAAUCUUCGGCAAUGGGGGCAACCCUGACCGAGCAACGCCGCGUGAGUGAAGAAGGUUUUCGGAUCGUAAAGCUCUGUUGUAAGUCAAGAACGGGUGUGAGAGUGGAAAGUUCACACUGUGACGGUAGCUUACCAGAAAGGGACGGCUAACUACGUGCCAGCAGCCGCGGUAAUACGUAGGUCCCGAGCGUUGUCCGGAUUUAUUGGGCGUAAAGCGAGCGC